GAAAUGACUGCAGAGAAGUCCACAGCAGCAUCCUGGAAAUGGUCCGGCGACACGGAUGAGACGCUCCAUCACUCCAGCUCAUCUGGACUGGAUGCUGCUGUGGUCUCCUCAUCCUCAGUGACCUCAGACACAGAGAGAGCAUCUAGAGAAAGACCAAAAGACACUGAGGAUGCGAAUUUUGGGGCCUACAAUCCCCUGAUCAACCUGAAGAAAAGAGUCUUGCUCAAGGACAUACUGGUGGUUUUGAACCAGCAACCUUCUGCUCACCACUUCAGUGGUUUAGCCCACUACAAAAGUAGCGGUGCUCAUGGAGAGCAGCACACGAAUGUUU
ensembl:lncRNA